rnacentral:lncRNA from 1 species
UGAAAGUGCCUUUGAGAAUAAAGGUAUAUUUAUGAUUAUAUUAGUAUUAAUAUGGGCACUGAAUAUAGCAUGAUAGUAUCCAUGCAUUAGUAAUAAGUGAUUAUUUUAGUUCAGGGUUUUAUAUAAAAUAAAAAUAUACGUCCUUUUUGUUUCAUUAGAGGGCUUUCUAAGUAGCUACCUGCAAAAUAUCAUGCUUCUAAGUUAGUUGUUAUUGACUUAAGCAGGGUUCUAAAAGCUUGGAUUCUUGCUGAGCGAGCAUAUCUUCUCGGGUGAAGAAUUUAUCAAAUAAUGCAUUUGUUCUGAAGGUAUAGUCCUUUUUCUAAUUUUUGCUUUCCGAUAUUGCUAUUUUUUAGUUCUGUGCUUUCGGAGAUUGCAUGAUGUUUGGCCUAUAAGAUAGUUUUAGUGCUCCUAAAAUUUCCUUCUUGUGCCGCCAAACUAGUCUGACUUCCUUAAUACUUUGUUAACAUAUGAACAUUUUUAGUUCUUGUUGCAUGAUGUUUAAGAUCUUUGCUUAUCAUUUUUGCUAUAUGAAUAUUCCUUCCAAGGUGGGGUUUUAAUUUUUCAUCCUUUCUACUUUGUUGUUGUUGUUGUAUGCAUAAUUUUAGCUCCCGCUUUUUCACCCUUUCAGUAUCAAAGUUCAAACAUGAUAAUCUCUUUCCAUUUAAUACCAUGAAGAAUACAGUGUUCUUGAUCUGCAAAUGGAGUGUUCCCUUUCACUAUCAUAAAUAUGGAUGUUUGGUUACGGUAAGUUGAUUUUUUAGGGUUUAACAUGCACUAAAUUAUUGAAGAGGGUGUAGUACUUUAUUGAAUGUGAGCUUGAAAUUUAAAGAUCAGGAUGUGGAAUUGGAGUGCCAAGUUUCGAAAGCACUUUGUCCUCUGUUGCCUUUGGUACUUGCUAUCAAAGGCAAAGCUUAUUACUAGUAUUAUUACUAUUGCAGUUACUAUAUACUUGACGUUGUUAAUGAGUUUGAAUGAAUAUGAUUUUUUAGGGUUGAACUAAUUGUUUGUUUUCUGUUGGUUCUGCUUAGUUCUUUCUUAGUGACAGGCUUUGCCAAGGUCAGUCACAGCUUAGCUUGGCAUAGCCUAGCCUGGACAAUGCAAAAUGCAUAAAGUGAAGUUCCUGGAGUCCAAGUAGGGUGAAACUUUGCCAGGCCGACUGUAUACCCAUUUCCCAGGUAAAUAAACCCAUAGCUAGCUGAUAUUCCACCGUACACUGUAGCAUCAGUGUUAUAUGUCCAUAGUAUGUUCCCUGUGUUGGUGUCGAUGGCAUAUAUGGGUCCGUUAGAAGCUAUGGAACCUGUGAAAAGGACAUUGUUUGCCACCAUAACAGGUGCUUGGGCAGUGUCAUUGCUUGGGUUUACCGUGGACCAUAUGAUUUCUCCUGUGUUGGCAUCUAAAGCUACCCAUGCUCCUGCUGUUGUUGUUUGGUUAGAAGGUGUGAGCAUGAAGCUUUUGCGGUCGCUGUUUGCUAUGUUGGUGUAAACUCUUCUCCCAUCUGUGGCUGCACCCCAUAGUCCUCCUCCUUCCCUCCCACCCGGUCCUGCCAGCUGAGAAACUGAAAUUUUAACUUAACAAAAAAAUCCAAUGUGUCAGGUGACUAGA